AUUGAACGCUGGCGGCAGGCCUAACACAUGCAAGUCGAGCGAUCGGCGGACGGGUGAGUAAUGUCUGGGAAACUGCCUGAUGGCGGGGGAUAACUACUGGAGACGGUAGCUAAUACCGCAUACCAUCAGCUGUGCCCAGAUGGGAUUAGCUAGUAGGUGGGGUAACGGUUCACCUUGGCGGCGAUCCCUAGCUGGUCUGAGAGAGUGACAAGCAAAACUGGAAAUGAGCAACGGUCCAGACUCUUACGGGAGGCAGAAGUGGGGAAUAUUGCAAAAUGGGCGAAGGCCUGAUGAAGAAAUGACGGGUGUGUAAAGAGGGCUAUAGGAGUGUAAGCGACGGUAAGGGGGGAGGCGUUACACGAAGAAGAAGCAACGGCUAACUCCGUGCCAGCAGCCGCGGUAAUUC
rnacentral:rRNA from 1 species